GGGUUCCUGGGCCAGGCCAGUCCGCCCAGGGUGAGUCGGGACCUAAGGCGAGGCCGACAGGCGUAGUCGAUGGACAACGGGUUGAUAUUCCCGUACCCGUGUAUAAGCGUCCCUGAUGAAUCCAUUCUGCUAACCGCCCAAAAGGUGGUCUACCAAUUCCUUCGGGAAGCGGGGGUCACCGGCUGCGCGGGACCCGGGUGGGUAGUAGUCAAGCGAUGGGGUGACGCAGGUAGGUAGCCGUACCAGUCAGUGGUAAUACUGGGGUAAACCUGUAGGGAGAAACGUAGGCAAAUCCGCGUUUCAUAUAUCCUGAGAGGUGAU
rnacentral:rRNA from 1 species